UACCGUAUGGUGUAGUGGUUGGGACGUCAGGCUUGCGGUCUGAAGACCCAGGUUUGAUUCCUGGUAUGGUAA
rnacentral:tRNA from 1 species